rnacentral:rRNA from 1 species
AGAGUUUGAUCCUGGCUCAGGAUGACCUCUAGCGGCAGGCUUAACACAUGCAAGUCGAGGGGCAGCGGGGAGGAAGCUUGCUUUCUCCGCCGGCGACCGGCGCACGGGUGAGUAACACGUAUGCAACCUGCCCCUGUCAGGGGGACAACCCGCCGAAAGGCGGGCUAAACCCGCGUACAUGCCACCGGGGCAUCCCGGAGGCAGGAAAGGCUUCGGCCGGACAGGGAUGGGCAUGCGGCGCAUUAGGCAGUAGGCGGGGUAACGGCCCACCUAACCGACGAUGCGUAGGGGUUCUGAGAGGAAGGUCCCCCACACUGGUACUGAGACACGGACCAGACUCCUACGGGAGGCAGCAGUGAGGAAUAUUGGUCAAUGGUCGGGAGACUGAACCAGCCAAGCCGCGUGAGGGAGGAAGGUACAGAGUAUCGUAAACCUCUUUUGUCAGGGAACAAAGGCGGGGACGUGUCCCCGGAUGAGUGUACCUGAAGAAAAAGCAUCGGCUAACUCCGUGCCAGCAGCCGCGGUAAUACGGAGGAUGCGAGCGUUAUCCGGAUUUAUUGGGUUUAAAGGGUGCGCAGGCGGUCUGUUAAGUCAGCGGUCAAAGCCCGGGGCUCAACCCCGGCCCGCCGUUGAAACUGGCAGUCUCGAGUUGGAGAGAAGUAUGCGGAAUGCGCGGUGUAGCGGUGAAAUGCAUAGAUAUCGCGCAGAACUCCGAUUGCGAAGGCAGCAUGCCGGCUCCACACUGACGCUGAGGCACGAAAGCGUGGGUAUCGAACAGGAUUAGAUACCCUGGUAGUCCACGCAGUAAACGAUGAAUGCUGGCUGUCCGGGGGGAUUGACCCCUGGGUGGCGAAGCGAAAGCGAUAAGCAUUCCACCUGGGGAGUACGCCGGCAACGGUGAAACUCAAAGGAAUUGACGGGGGCCCGCACAAGCGGAGGAACAUGUGGUUUAAUUCGAUGAUACGCGAGGAACCUUACCCGGGCUCAAACGGGGAGUGACUCAGGCAGAGACGCCUGUUUCCCACGGGACACUCCCCGAGGUGCUGCAUGGUUGUCGUCAGCUCGUGCCGUGAGGUGUCGGCUUAAGUGCCAUAACGAGCGCAACCCCCGCGUGCAGUUGCUAACAGAUAACGCUGAGGACUCCGCACGGACUGCCGGCGCAAGCCGCGAGGAAGGCGGGGAUGACGUCAAAUCAGCACGGCCCUUACGUCCGGGGCGACACACGUGUUACAAUGGGUGGUACAGCGGGAAGCCAGGCGGCGACGCCGAGCGGAACCCGAAAUCCACUCUCAGUUCGGAUCGGAGUCUGCAACCCGACUCCGUGAAGCUGGAUUCGCUAGUAAUCGCGCAUCAGCCAUGGCGCGGUGAAUACGUUCCCGGGCCUUGCACACACCGCCCGUCAAG